GACGAACGCUGGCGGCGUGCUUAACACAUGCAAGUCGAACGGUAAGGCCCUUCGGGGUACACGAGUGGCGAACGGGUGAGUAACACGUGGGUGAUCUGCCCUGCACUUCGGGAUAAGCCUGGGACACUGGGUCUAAUACCGGAUAGGACCCUGGGAUGCAUGUCCUGGGGUGGAAAGCUUUUGCGGUGUGGGAUGGGCCCGCGGCCUAUCAGCUUGUUGGUGGGGUGAUGGCCUACCAAGGCGACGACGGGUAGCCGGCCUGAGAGGGUGACCAGCCACACUGGGGCUGGGGUACGGCGCAGACUGCUACGGGAGGCAAGAGUGGGGAAUAUUGCGCAAUGGGGGCAAGCCUGAUGCAGCGAAGCCGCGUUAGGGAUGACGGCCUUCGGGUUGUAAACCUCUUUCAGCACCGACGAAGCGCAAGUGACGGUAGGUGCAGAAGAAGGACCGGCCAACUACGUGCCAGCCGCCGCGGUAA
rnacentral:rRNA from 1 species